AACGAACGCUGGCGGCAUGCCUAACACAUGCAAGUCGAACGAUUGCCUUCGGGUGAUAGUGGCGCACGGGUGCGUAACGCGUGGGAAUCUGUCCUUAGGUUCGGAAUAACAGCUGGAAACGGCUGCUAAAACCGGAUGAUAUCGCGAGAUCAAAGAUUUAUCGCCUGAGGAUGAGCCCGCGUUGGAUUAGGUAGUUGGUGGGGUAAAGGCCUACCAAGCCGACGAUCCAUAGCUGGUCUGAGCGGAUGAUCAGCCACACUGGGACUGAGACACGGCCCAGACUCCUACGGGAGGCAGCAGUGGGGAAUAUUGGACAAUGGGCGCAAGCCUGAUCCAGCAAUGCCGCGUGAGUGAUGAAGGCCCUAGGGUUGUAAAGCUCUUUUACCCGGGAAGAUAAUGACUGUACCGGGAGAAUAAGCCCCGGCUAACUCCGUG
rnacentral:rRNA from 1 species